rnacentral:rRNA from 1 species
GAUGAACGCUGGCGGCGUGCCUAAUACAUGCAAGUCGAGCGAACAGACGAGGAGCUUGCUCCUCUGACGUUAGCGGCGGACGGGUGAGUAACACGUGUAUCACCUACCUAUAAGACUGGGAUAACUUCGGGAAACGGGAGCUAAUCCCGGAUAAUAUAUUGAACCGCAUGGUUCAAUAGUGAAAGACGGCUUUGCUGUCACUUAUAGAUGGAUCCGCGCCGGAUUAGCUAGUUGGUAGGGUAACGGCUUAUCAAGGCAAGGAUGCGUAGACGACGUGACAGGGUGAUCGGCCACACUGGAACUGAGACACGGUCCAGACUCCUACGGGAGGCAGCAGUAGGGAAUCUUCCGCAAUGGGCGAAAGCCUUACGGAGCAACGCCGCGUGAGUGAUAGAAGUCUUCGGAGCGUAAAACUCUGUUAUUAGGGAAGAACAAAUGUGUAAGUAACUAUGCACUGAUUGACGGUACCUAAUCAGAAAGCCACGGCUAACUACGUG